rnacentral:tRNA from 1 species
CACCGCGACCGGCACGGCGUACCGGGCGGCCUUGCGCCGGCCGGAGCGCGGGUUCUCGUCCCGCGCGGCGCCCA